CGAGCAGUAGCUCAGCGGUAGAGCUCCAGCUUCGUGUGCGGGAAGACCUGGGUCCGGUUCUCAGCUGCCUAU
rnacentral:tRNA from 1 species